rnacentral:rRNA from 1 species
GAUGAACGCUGGCGGCGUGCCUAAUACAUGCAAGUCGAGCGAACAGACGAGGCGCUUGCUCCUCUGACGUUAGCGGCGGACGGGUGAGUAACACGUGGAUAACCUACCUAUAAGACGGGGAUAACUUCGGGAAACCGGAGCUAAUCCCGGAUAAUAUAUUGAACCGCAUGGUUCAAUAGUGAAAGACGGUUUUGCUGUCACUUAUAGAUGGAUCCGCGCUGCAUUAGCUAGUUGGUACGGUAACGGCUUAUCAAGGCAACGAUGCGUAGCCGACCUGAGAGGGGGAUAGCCCACACUGGAAGUGAGACGCGGUCCAGACGCCUAAGAGAGGCAGCAGUAGGGAAUCGUCGGCAAUGGGCGAGAGCCUGACGGAGCAACGGCGCGUGAGUGAUGAAGGUCUUCGGAGCGUAAAACUCUGUUAUGAGGGAAGAACAAAUGUGUAAGUAACCAUGCACUUCUUGACGGUACCUAAUCAAAAAGCCACGGCUAACUACGUG